rnacentral:lncRNA from 1 species
UUUCUAUAUAAAAAAGAAGAUGUGGUAUGAUUGCCAAUGAGACAACUAUCCACAAAAGACCAAAAUGACACAGACAUUAACAACUAUAGGUCACCGUACGGCCUUCAACAAUAAGCAAAGCCCAUACCGCAUAGUCAGCUAUAAGAGGCCCCGAUAAGACAAUGUAAAACAAUUCAAACGAGAAAACUAACGGCCUUAUUUAUGUAAAAAAAAAAUGAACGAAAAACAAAUCUG